AUGAUUGUUCCUGACAGAGGAUUUACUUUCAGAGGCCCUGCUAAGGAUAACCAAAAAAGGGCAUGUAGCAAGACAGUUUUGGCAGCUUGCACGRAUUUUCGGAGCUUUUUAGGUCUUGGUUUUCUGAUGAGUGGCUUCCUGAGCAUGCCUGGGGAAUGACAGGCAUCUCUGCAGGCAGGCUGAACCCACCUUGGCUUGCGCGUCGUCAUUGGCUGCCUAUUAGAAUAAAUUGAGGACAAUGCAUUCCGCUGCCUGCCAAUUGUAAACAUAAGGGAUAUGUAUUCACUUAGCAUUGACUUUUGGGAGGGGCCAAGGAAAAGCUGUACUUUUAUUGAAUAGGGCUGUGUGUGAGGCUGCUGCUGUGCCUUUCUCGCAGCGCUUCUGCCCAAGCAGCCAGUUAUUCAUUUCCUUCCUACUAGCUGAAAACUUUGCAGCCAGAGUGCCUGUGAUAACCAUUGGGUUACUCAAAGGAUUCCUUGGGAGCUGAAGAGGCAGCACCUUCCAGGCUCAGGGGCAUCAUAUCUGAGAUCACCUUGGUUUUUCUGGAGUUGUCAUUUUGAUUCAUCAGUCAGCUGGUUGUUACU